CACAUGUUUAGUGGAAUCUUGUGACUUUGUAAAGUGCUUGCAAUCAGGCAUGCGUGUGAUGGCUGACAGAGGUUUUAAGCAUGUGG